rnacentral:piRNA from 1 species
AAGUGCUGGGAUGUGGUUCUGCUGUGGC